rnacentral:rRNA from 1 species
GAUGCGACYUCAGCUCAGGCGGGGCUACCCGCUGAGUUUAAGCAUAUCAAUAAGCGAGA